AUGUUGUUAGACAACAGUGAACCUUCGAACUAUGAAGAAGCGAUGGCGGGCCCAGACUCCAACAAAUGGCUCAAAGCAAUGCAAUCCGAGAUAGGAUCCAUGUAUGAAAAUGAAGUAUGGACUUUGACAGACUUGCCCGAUGAUCGGCGAGCGAUAGAAAACAAAUGGAUCUUUAAGAAGAAGACGGACACGGAUGGUAAUGUUACCAUCUAUAAAGCUCGACUUGUCGCUAACGGUUAUCGACAAGUUCAAGUGGUUGACUACGAUGAGACAUUCUCUCCCAUAGCGAAGCUAAAGUCCGUCCGAAUCAUGUUAGCAAUUGCCGCAUACUAUGAUUAUGAGAUAUGGCAAAUGGACGUCAAAACGGCAUUCCUUAACGGCCAUCUUAAGGAAGAACUGUAUAUGAUGCAGCCGGAAGGUUUUGUCGACCCUGAGAAUGCUAACAAAGUGUGCAAACUCCAGUGA
rnacentral:rRNA from 1 species